CACCCAGGAGGAUGUGCGGGGAGGCCCGCCCGCAUGGGGAGAGGGCCAGGCUUUGAACAUGAAGUUGAUCACAUGCAAAUAGCAUGCAAAUAUAUGCAAGCUGGCUUGGGCUGCGGGGCCCACCUCUCUGCCGUCCUCCCUCCUGGGUGAGGGCUGGGGCGGGUUUGCAUCCGGUUCCGCUUGGUGCCUAGGGUGCCUGGGCUCUACUUCAACCUGCCAGUAACGGAGUGAGGGUGGGGCAGUUCUCCACACCACCCUGCCCAAGAGAUGUGACCUAAGAGGACAUGGAGGUACUGGGUGGCAGGAGAGGCGGCUGACCCGCUGAGCAAGGAGUCCCUGUGGCUUGUGAUUUGUGCCUGGUGUCCUCACGAAAAGGUGAAGGAGUGUGUGCCCAGGAUUCUGACAUUCCCUCCUCCCCUGAAGGCUGGGGAGCAGCUGAACACACGUGGCAGACAGGACUCCCAGACCUGGCACGUUGUUUUCGACACAAUGUCUCAUAAAUAACAACUCACUGUGUAGCUGAGGAUGACCUUGACUGCCUCCACCACUCAAGUGCUGGAUUUCAGGGACUCGCUCUGAGCUUCCAGGGGUCAGUGGACUCAUAGGGACAGAGGAGUUACUCAGUUCUACAGAAGUUGGCAUUAGGUGGAUGCUGGCAUUAAAGGCAAGAGUCACCACACCAGGCAAGUAGGGGGACAUUUUGUAGGAUCUCUGUCUCCCAGAUACUCACUUUACUCAUAGCUGCUCUGCCCGAGGCCAACUUGGGGUUCUUUUUUUUUUUUUGGUUUUUCGAGACAGGGUUUCUCUGUAUUGCUUUGGAGCCUGUCCUGGAACUGCUCCGUAGACCAGGCUGGCUUCAAACUCAGAGAUCCACCUGCCUCUGCCUCCCGAGUGAUGGACUGGGGGUGGUGGCCCAUGUGGGCCUUUAAUCCCACUCAGGAGACAGAGUCAGGCAGAUUUGGUCUAGAGACCAGGUCAGUCUGGUUUACAUAGUGAAUUCCAAGACAGCAAAGAUGAGAGGAGACCCUUUUUCUAAACAAUAACACCCUUCCCUGAAACAGGAACAGAAACCCAGGUGGAAGAGCUGGGCAAGCCAAACAAUUGUCGGGGAGAGGGGUACCUGAAAGAGUGGUGGAGCCUAUAAUCAAUUCCUUCCAUCAACACCUUUUCUCUUCCUUUUUGGACAAGAUUUCACUUUGCUCAGGCUAGUGUCAGACAUGAUAUUUGGCAGAGGAUAACCUUGAACUUCUGAUACUUCUGGUCCCUCACACUGCAAAUUGGGGGCGGGAGGAGAGGUGGAAAACUGCCAAAGGUGAGGCAGUGGGAAGAAUCUUAGGUGGAGUGGGUAGCUCUUCCCCCAGGUGCAGCA
rnacentral:lncRNA from 1 species